AACGCGAAGAACCUUACCUGGUCUUGACAUCCACAGAACCUUCCAGAGAUGGAUUGGUGCCUACGGGAACUGUGAGACAGGUGCUGCAUGGCUGUCGUCAGCUCGUGUUGUGAAAUGUUGGGUUAAGUCCCGCAACGAGCGCAACCCUUAUCUUUUGUUGCCAGCGGUCCGGCCGGGAACUCAAAGGAGACUGCCAGUGAUAAACUGGAGGAAGGUGGGGAUGACGUCAAGUCAUCAUGGCCCUUACGACCAGGGCUACACACGUGCUACAAUGGCGCAUACAAAGAGGAGCGACCUCGCGAGAGCAAGCGGACCUCAUAAAGUGUGUCGUAGUCCGGAUUGGAGUCUGCAACUCGACUCCAUGAAGUCGGAAUCGCUAGUAAUCGUGGAUCAGAAUGCCACGGUGAAUACGUUCCCGGGCCUUGUACACACCG
rnacentral:rRNA from 1 species